rnacentral:rRNA from 1 species
UACGUAGGGUGCAAGCGUUGUCCGGAAUUAUUGGGCGUAAAGAGCUCGUAGGCGGUCUGUCGCGUCGGCUGUGAAAACCCGGAGCUCAACUCCGGGCCUGCAGUCGAUACGGGCAGACUGGAGUUCGGCAGGGGAGACUGGAAUUCCUGGUGUAGCGGUGAAAUGCGCAGAUAUCAGGAGGAACACCGGUGGCGAAGGCGGGUCUCUGGGCCGAUACUGACGCUGAGGAGCGAAAGCGUGGGUAGCAAACAGG